rnacentral:lncRNA from 1 species
UCUGAACUUCAAAAUCUUUGGCAUCCCAGCUUAAACCUCUACCACCUUGUUUGUUAAUUCCUCGGAUGAACUUCUCUUGCUGGAUGUUAGAACCUCCAUAAUAAUCGAUGAGGUUCACGGAAAGUACUGAAGGCCAUUCUUCUUUCAGGUUGCUUCUAUGGUCCUUUCUCAUGGAGGGUACCGCUUUUGAAACCACGAAUCCUGUGGAAAGUGGAAGAGCAGAACCCUUGCUAUGAAGGAGAUGAGCUAGAGGUGGAGACUCAGCAGUGAGGCAUGUCGGGAGCUGUAGAGCUGUUGGAGGAAGGAACCGCAUACUGGGAGAAGGAAUUAAAAUAUAUGCAGAAGACGUAGAACCAAGAGACUUCACUGGUGUGAAACCUUCCACGUAACCUGAAUAGACAUCUCACCACCAUUUAAUACUUGGAUGAUUUACUUCAUAAAGAAUAUCCAAAUAUAUUCAGUGCCCGUUUGGAUGCAAACCAGAAAACACUUAUUGGAGCUUAUUCAAUGUAUUUUCUAGUAGAUAAGCUCCAAUAAGUCCGUAUCCAAACGGGCCCUAAUACUAUUCCUUUUUAACCAAAAACAGGUGUGAACUAUAAGCAAAGUUCCAUCCUUUGGUCUAAUGUUUUAGCCUUAUACUAUACAGCAUACCAAACGGGCCCUUAAUAUACACUUGCACACACAGUAUUAGUUUUCAGUUAGUUACAAUGAGCUGUUGUACAGCUGCACAGUUAGUUAGAGCUGAUGUUAACUGAAUCAUCUUCAGUUAUCAUUAUAUAUUCACUUUUGUAUUACAUGUAAUAAUCAAUUCGAUAAGAAAUAGAUUCAGAAUAUGAAUUAUUUUUUCUCUUCUCUUGAAUUCUAUCAGUCACUUUUUCACAUGUAUCACCUUAGGCACAAUUCCACCAUCUUUUCUUCAGAGGUGCUGCUACUACUUUCUAACAAACUCAUUUCUAAUCUUGUGAAUUGAUCCAUUCUUAUAUGUCCACAAAUCCAUCACAACACUCAUCUCAUUAAGUGAUUUAAUAGGGGGACAAAAUUAUUGAAGUAAAGAUUACUCACCAGGAGAAGAUGAAUCAGAUGGAAGAACUAGCUUUAACGUAUGGUCCAUAGAAACUGCAACAAAACUAAUGCUUUGUGCCCAAUGAAGCAAACCCCUUGAAUUGUCAACCAUCGAAUGUCCGCCCAUAAGCUGCUUCCUUGCAGCAGGUUGCCCUAAAUUUGCUUUCAUAUAAGCAGUUGGCUUAGCAUGAGGGCUGUACAAAGGACUAGGUGAAGAAGGAAGAGUUCUUUCAGGGAUCAAACUCAUAUCUGACUGUUGCAAAGAAGAACCAUUACUAGUUGCGGACACCCCAUCAGACAGAGAUUUCCGCAGUUGCAGGGGCCAUCUCUUCAUCUCAGAUCCACCAACUGAAUAAAGGGCUUUCUGCCAUUCUGCUCGAAUAAAUUUCAAAGUAAAAACGUAUAUAUAGUGGCAAAUAUAAGAAGAAGCGAACUUAUUUAAUUAGCUAUAUGUACAAUCUAUUGACCACUAUCUCACAGAUAAGAACCAGAAAAAAAAUUAUGCGGAUAUAAGUAUGCCAAUCUAGUACAUAUGCCAUAUUACCAACAACCAUGCAUGCUUGAUAUGACUCAAAGUAAUAAAUCUAGAGCAUAAAUCUUACAUGGAUGAUUAAGAUUAAAACUAAUUUAAAAGGUAACAUGACCACUUAAAAAGCAAAAUGGUAUGUGUUAAUAUUAACCAUUCAUGGUUAGAUGGAGAGCCCAUUUGUCUCUGAUUAUUUAUGAAAUAAUAAUUUAUAAAGAAAUAAUACUUAAUUGUGUAUGCUUUAGAUAAAUUUAUAAAGAAAUAAUCAUUCUCAAAUUUGAUGGGUCACGCAUGAAUUUCAAUCAAUAGGAGAGGGAGGGUAGGAAAGAUAAUUGUAAAUAGUGUCACUCGCAUUCACUUUAUUAAAAAGUACCAUGGUGUAUAAUAUUUUAGAAAAAUUACCGACUGACCACUUAAUAACAUGUUUAACCAAUUAAAUAACAUCACCAACAGGGGCUUUGCGAUAAUUCUCACUUAACCAGCAUCCACCCUAGCUUGAUUGUUCUUCAAUUAACGUUUAGAAAAAGUCAUAUGCCACCCAAACCCAUGUUUGUACCUCACAAGAUAGCUGAGAAGCAGAGGCAGAAAUCUUACCAAGGUACUCAAGCUCAUAGAAACCUCCAAUGCGGGCUAUCACAAAAUCUCGAGGCUUUGCAAGGCCAGAGUCACAAGAUUGAAGUAUCAAACAGCCUUGCUGAAGAACUUGAACAAAUAGGCACUGCAACCCCUUCGUAUCCUGCCUACUGCUUAUUCCACCAAAAGGGAAAAUAUUGCAGUCAAGCAAUUCUCCUCUUGAGUCUGUCCAGAUGCAAACAAGCCAACGCCAGUCUUCUGUCCAUCCAUAGCAGCAAUGCAAGCUUGGAUGAGUCUUUUGAUCUGACCCAGAUCCAUCGAUGCUUGAAGCAGAAUCCCCACUUUUCUGUGCUUCAAUGACAACUUCUAUAAAUCAUGCUAACCUGGGCUAAAAUCAGCUGAUCUAAAAAGCUCAUGUACAUUCUCAACUAUACCUAAAUCUAUUUCUUCCUGGAACCAUCAGCAGGCUUUACAUAUAAUUUACAUACAGUCACAGUGCUUCUUGUAUGAUACAGUCUCCUCAGCUAAGUUUGGCUGUCUUUCCCCUUAAAACAAAUGAGCAAAUAUUUUAAUUGCUAUCAUUGUAUGUAAACUGCAGUCAAGAUUUCUCUGACUGCUUAAAGAGCUCUUUAUCAGCAAAAUGAAGAAGUCUUCUUAGUCUAAUAACCAUGUCACAGUGGAAUGGAAGUGCCGUCCGUCGCUCUAAGUACGCGGGGCUGACCGUCAUCCAUGACAAGGCGUGAAGCUCUGCUGCAAGGGACUCCAGAACCAAGUGGGUCUGAACUUCAAAAUCUUUGGCAUCCCAGCUUAAACCUCUACCACCUUGUUUGUUAAUUCCUCGGAUGAACUUCUCUUGCUGGAUGUUAGAACCUCCAUAAUAAUCGAUGAGGUUCACGGAAAGUACUGAAGGCCAUUCUUCUUUCAGGUUGCUUCUAUGGUCCUUUCUCAUGGAGGGUACCGCUUUUGAAACCACGAAUCCUGUGGAAAGUGGAAGAGCAGAACCCUUGCUAUGAAGGAGAUGAGCUAGAGGUGGAGACUCAGCAGUGAGGCAUGUCGGGAGCUGUAGAGCUGUUGGAGGAAGGAACCGCAUACUGGGAGAAGGAAUUAAAAUAUAUGCAGAAGACGUAGAACCAAGAGACUUCACUGGUGUGAAACCUUCCACGUAACCUGAAUAGACAUCUCACCACCAUUUAAUACUUGGAUGAUUUACUUCAUAAAGAAUAUCCAAAUAUAUUCAGUGCCCGUUUGGAUGCAAACCAGAAAACACUUAUUGGAGCUUAUUCAAUGUAUUUUCUAGUAGAUAAGCUCCAAUAAGUCCGUAUCCAAACGGGCCCUAAUACUAUUCCUUUUUAACC